rnacentral:tRNA from 1 species
GUUUUUAUAGUUGAAUAACAACGGUGGUUUUUCAGGCCAGAGGUCUUGGUUAAAGUCUAAGUAGAAACU